UACGGAGGGUGCAAGCGUUAUCCGGAUUCACUGGGCUUAAAGGGUGCGUAGGCGGGUAUAUAAGUCAGAGGUGAAAGCUCCGGGCUUAACUUGGAAACUGCCAUUGAUACUGUAUAUCUUGAAUGUCGUUGAGGUAAGCGGAAUGUUGGAUGUAGCGGUGAAAUGCUUAGAUAUGUUACAGAACACCAAUUGUGAAGACAGCUUACUAAGCGAUGAUUGACGCUGAGGCACGAAAGCGUGGGGAGCAAACAGG
rnacentral:rRNA from 1 species